AGACAGAGGAUGCAAGCGUUAUCCGGAAUGAUUGGGCGUAAAGCGUCUGUAGGUGGCUUUGUAAGUUCGCCGUCAAAUCCCAGGGCUCAACCCUGGACAGGUGGUGAAAACUACUAAGCUAGAGUACGGUAGGGGCAGAGGGAAUUUCCGGUGGAGCGAUGAAAUGCGUAGAGAUCGGAAGGAACACCAAUGGCGAAAGCCCUCUGGUGGGCCGACACUGACACUGAGAGCCGAAAGCUAGGGGAGCGAAUGGGAUGAGAGACUCCAGUAGUCCUAGCCGUAAACGAUGGAUACUAGGCGGCUGUGCGUAUCGACCCGUGCAAUGCUGUAGCUAACGCGUUAAGUAUCCCGCCUGGGGAGUACGUUCGCAAGAAUGAAACUCAAAGGAAUUGACGGGG
rnacentral:rRNA from 1 species